GAUGAACGCUAGCGGCAGGCUUAACACAUGCAAGUCGAGGGGUAGAGGAAGCUUGCUUCCUUGAGACCGGCGCACGGGUGCGUAACGCGUAUGCAACCUACCUUUUACAGAGGGAUAGCCCAGAGAAAUUUGGAUUAAUACCUCAUGGUGUAUAUCAUUCGCAUGUUUGAUAUAUUAAAGUUCCAACGGUAAAAGAUGGGCAUGCGUCCUAUUAGCUAGAUGGUAAGGUAACGGCUUACCAUGGCAACGAUAGGUAGGGGUCCUGAGAGGGAGAUCCCCCACACUGGUACUGAGACACGGACCAGACUCCUACGGGAGGCAGCAGUGAGGAAUAUUGGACAAUGGGCGCAAGCCUGAUCCAGCCAUGCCGCGUGCAGGAAGAAGCAUCUAUGGUGUGUAAACUGCUUUUGUACGGGAAGAAACACUCCUUCGUGAAGGAGCUUGACGGUACCGUAAGAAUAAGGAUCGGCUAACUCCGUGCCAGCCGCCGCCGUAAAAC
rnacentral:rRNA from 1 species